GGGGCUGUAGCAUAGUCUGGCUGGUGCACAUUAACUAGGUUAAGCGCUUUCGACUGAUAAUCGAAAGGUUUGUGACUCAAAGUCCCAGGUUCAAAUCCUGGCAGCCCCA
rnacentral:tRNA from 1 species